GGAAACUAGCUACCUCUUUAUGUACUGCCCUAUGGAGAGGCACACAUGUCAAGAAACUGAGGGAGUGCCUUCCAGUCAACAGCCAGCCAGGAACUAAGGUGCUCAGUACAGCAGCCUCCACAAAGGACUGAACAAUGCCAACAGCUAUUUGACUGUGCUUGGAAGAUCUCCGUUUAGUUAACCCUUCAGAUGAGACCGCAGCCCUGGCCAGCAAACAAAUUGCAGCCUAUGGAAAGACCUUAAGGCAGAAGCACCCAACUGAACCACCCGAGGGCUCUGACUUACAGAAACUGUGAGCAUAUAGUGAAAUGGCCUCUACCUUAUUUUGAAUGGAUUUCUGGGAUAAAGUUCUUCAGUGAUAACAUGUUUGAAUGAUGCUGCCUGGAGUUAAAGGAGGCCAGGAGCACCAGAAGCUGGAGGAGGCCGGGGUGGAUUCUCGCCUGGAGGCUUCAGUGGGAGCACGAGCUCCCGACACUUCGGUUCCAUCUCUUGUUUAAAGGCACCCAGUUUCUCAUCAUUUGUUACAGCACCAUGGAAAACCCACACACAAGUGAAGCCCCGACCCACCUCCCAAGUGCCCAUCUGAGCACCCCUCGUGGACUCUGAGCAGGGGGUUGCCAUCACCAACUCCAAGUCUUGCAGCCCCUCUUCCCUUCAGUCUGGCUGCCACCUUCUUCAUUGCCCUGGAAAAAAAUAAUGAAGUUUCACCAUUUAAAGGGUUUCAGUGCAGCUUGCUAUGGGAACACUGGAGAGUAACACAAAUGGCCAAUUGUCCUAAUAGCCACCAUGGAUUGGAUGGAUGCUAACAACAGGCUCACAGUUCUCCUUCUGUUGCCUCCUUUUAUCCACAUGAGAAUCAAACAAGACUACUGAUUAAAUGAAGCCUUUGAUGAAGUGCAUGCAGUUUGUAGCUUGAUUCAUGGGAAUACUCAUCACAGACUGAAAGUGUAACCCAGGGUCUCUGGGUUUUUGGGAACGCGCUGUGUAAAAGUAUCUACUUGUAACUGUUACUCCCUGAGUUGUUGUUGUUUUAGAAAGUUCCAAGAAGAAGCUUAGCCUUGGAAAAAACAAAAACUGGUUGAAUCCAGAAGUGGAGAUGAAUUUUGGCCAACGCUCCUCACUGCCACACUAAAAACCCUGCUCAGAGAGGAGCUUAUUCACCAUGUUCUAUUCAUGCAAUGUGUGUGGAAACAUGAUCUACGACAGCAUGCGUGCUGCCUUCACCCUACCUCUACAUACAAUGACUCAUUUAACCUGCUGAAUAAAAGCCCUGUUUUCACCUUUGCUGGGGGAGGUGCCGCUUUGGGAACUAUUCGCAGUGUCCUCUUCACUUUUUGCAAGUAAUAGAAUACCCUUGUUAAAUCCUACUUGGUUGUGGUCAUUAUAGUGUCACCCGCCAAGCAAUCGAUCCCACCCAGGGUUAACAAAUGCGGGAUAACAAAUGUCAGGUUUUAGGCAAGUUACUUACUCGCUCAAAAUAUGAAGAUAUAAGUUACCAUCAGUUGUCAAUCAUGGUGAGCUUUGCUCUGCUGCAGUAACAGACAAUCGUAACUCUUAGUAGCUCUAAAUGACCAGUUUAAAUAACACCUCGUCUUUGUAGUUUUGAUAGCGACAGGAGGCAGCCAAAUGCCUAGGCAGGUAGGGGCAGGUUCCCCGUGAAACUCCAUCUCCAAGCCGAAGACAGUUUAGAGCCUGAAAGCCAAGCUCCACAUUAAAUCCUCCGACUGGAUUGAGAACUUGUCUUCCUGUUUAGUGUGCUUUUCUCUCAUUGGUCCCUGCCAUUCACCUAUUUCAUAUACACCUAACCUUUUCUAAUUGGUUUUCUAUACUGUCAUGCCCAACUUUGAGUGGUCUUUGCUUUAACCUUUUCUACAUAUUCACAAACCGAUCAGCAUGCACCCCCCAUUCUGAGUCCAUGAAAGGCUCUGGAUCUAGCCACACAGAGGAACUUUCCCAUCUUCAGGUAGGGGGGCCACCACCAACAUGUCCCCUCUCCACCAAAAGCUGUUUUCAUUGUUCAAUAAAAUUCUUCUCUGCCUUCCUCACCCUUCAAUGUCCAGCAUAUCCUCAUUCUUCUUGGGCAUGGUACAAGAGCACAGGAACCACUGAAGGUGGGUACAAGUUAUAAUACAGGCAAGUGGGGGCAUGCCAGCUUUGGCUGAGUGAGGACCAGGUCGAGCAUUACUGUCAGGGGAUCCCUGGCUUGCAAAGUGACCAAGAAGAAAAGUCUUACAUUAGUUUGGCUAGGGUGAGGCCCUGACCUCUGUUACCUUCACUCGGCCAGCUCACUGAUGGUGACUCUGUAUUGAUAGGCACUCCACCCAGAAAUUGUGCACUGACAUUUCCUGGCCAACGAAAGUUACUCAACUAUGCCUGAUUUUAAACUGCAAUCCUAACAUGACCCAGAAGGUGAAGAGCCAGAAAUAUUUGAUGACUACACUGAGCCCACUUUCCCUCACAGGCUUGUUUUGCAGGGUUAAUGAUUUAAGCCAUGUGAUGUAUGGUUCACAGGGUGCCUGGCACCUGCCAAGUAUUCUUCCCCCAGGAGUUGGCAGGUCCUUGAAGGCACUCUCUGGUUUAGAUAUUCUUAGCUCCUUCCACUGUUCCUCAUGCUACAUUAUCUUAAAUCUUUUUAUUUUUACCAUCCUGGUUCGUCUCCUCUAAAAAUCCUACCCAAAUGUCCCUGUUAAUUCAUGAUCCACCAGAAACAAACAAUCUUCCAGCUGAAUACAGAACCCAAGAGAACAAAAUGAUCUCCUUCCUUCUUCUAGAUUAUGCAUCCUAAAAUCUGACUGUUUUUUCUUUUCUGGCAAUCAGAGUGCACUGUUGAAUUUACUGUCAAUUAAACAUUCUCCAUCUCUUCUAUGUAUUUUUCUGUAUUUAGACAUUUUUCUCCAAUCCCAUACUUGUGUCAUUAGCUUUUCAGUCACAAAUAAAAGAAGUUUCACAUUGUUCCUUAUUAAAGAGCAUCUGUUUGACUUGGCCCAUUCUUCCCAGCAGUUAUAAUUCAGACCAAGGUUGUUCUCAUCCAACAUUCAAACAAACACUAUGGAAUGGGAGAGGUAUGAAAGCAUUCAUCCCGACAAACAAUGGUCUCACCAUUUUGGAAGGCAUCUUUUUUACUUCAUUUUUUAACAGCUGUAUUAAUAUGUAACUGAGGUACAAUAAACUGAAUACAUUUAAAGGGUACAAUUUUUAUAAGUGUGGACCUUUGAAUACACCCAUGGAAC
rnacentral:lncRNA from 1 species